GCCCAUUUCCCCCAAUAUUCAUUUGUUCCCUCCAAAUUCUCCAUUUUCUCAGAACAUCCUGCCAUCUCCAUCCAUUCCCUGAAGACGUGGAGUCGAGCUCUCCUUCUCUCCGCCCUCUUUCAUCUCCAUCGAUGAAGACCGGUCCACUCUCCAAGUCGCCACCAGCGUUCUCGUUCUCCUCACCGGCGCCAUAUCCAUCUUCAUAUUCCGCUCCUCCCGUCACCGAGCAAAGUGCCAAAGAACUGCACAAAGUGUCAAUAACAUUCCAGAGCUUAUAUCGACUUUAAGUGGCUGGAUGAUGUCAUUGACUUUGCAGAGUUCUUCGAUACACCUUCCCAGCACGUUCCAAAGCAAUGGUCUAAAAAAUGGCCGUGAAGGGACAAUAUGGAAUGGUAAUAAGAGGCUUAUUUUGCAUGAUGGUUAUGGUUUCCAAUUAACUCAUUACGUAACUUAUUACUUAUAGCUAAAGUUUUGGUGAAAAUAUAAAUCUCGAGUAUCUUGGAUUCCUUGUGGUUAUUUCAAAGCCUGUGGAGAAUCUUCCCAAUGUGGAUAUACAAUUGGAAAAAAAGGAAGCUGCAUGAGCUGGUGCUGCUAAAGAAGCUCGUAUAGUCACACCAUUAAUGGAGAUUUUUAGGCAGAAAAGAGCUGUCAAGGGUUUCAGAUUAACUAUCUGAUUACUUUUAUGGAUACUAAAUGACAUUAGUGGGAGUAUGGAUGCCAAGAAAGCUUGCAGUGGGGCUACGAAAAUUCAAAGUGUCAAAAAGGAUGGGGCAAGUCAUGGAUCACUCUAGGUGUCAUAAAGGCUUUUUUGCUAUAUUUCUUUGUUGCAGAAAUUCAGAAAACAGGUAAUAUAUACGGUUCCGGUUGCAAGUAUAAACUGAAGAUGUUGGUUUUGGUUGCAAGUAUGAAGACUUGGGUUCGGGGGGCUAUUGUAUAUCAGUUUCAUCUUUACACAUUUAUAUAUUUGUGUUACUUUGAAACUUUUUUUAAUUUGUGUUAGUUUAAAACCUUUAUUUAUAUGUUUGGUUAAUUUA